rnacentral:tRNA from 1 species
UGGGGAGUCGUCUAAUGGUAGGACAUACGGUUCUGGUCCGUAGAGUAGGGGUUCGAAUCCUCUCUCCCCAGCCA